CACACCUCUGAGUCACAGAUAUGGAAGACCUAGAAAGAAAAAAAGAGAAUAUGAAUUUUGUCUACUCAACGCUUUCAUCUGCCCUGGAGAUGUUGAAAUUUCUUUCCAGAAGGUUUCAUGGCCAUAAACAAGGUUGGAAAGUGCUUCAUAAUAGCUCUCAUGAGUCAUGUCCAACAAAGAAGUCCUAAGGUCAGAAGGCAGAAGACAUGAGGUCCAGUUCUAGCUCAGCCAUUAACCAAGAGACCUCAAGAUCUUUAGCCUCCCUGUGCCUCAGUGUUCUCCAUUGCAACAUGGAAGUCAUAACGUCUGCUCUGCCUAUUUCACAGGACGGUUGUAAGAAUAUGACAAGAGAGCAGAUGUGAAAGUUUCAAAGGCCAUGUAGAAGCCCUCAAGGACCAAAGUCAGGUUUGUCUCCUACUUUCUCCAGCUGAAGAAAUAUUCAUCCUAGUGAGACCAGGCAGCGCUAAGUGCUAGCCUCCUUGGAGCUCAG